UACGUAGGGUGCGAGCGUUGCCCGGAUUUAUUGGGCGUAAAGGGUGCGUAGGCGGUUUGGUAAGUCUCGUGUGAAAUCUCCGGGCUCAACUCGGAGCCUGCACGAGAAACUGCCGGGCUUGAGUGUGGGAGAGGUGAGUGGAAUUCCUGGUGUAGCGGUGAAAUGCGUAGAUAUCGGGAGGAACACCAGUGGCGAAGGCGAUCACCUGGGGUUGUUCUGACGCUGAGGAGCGAAAGCUAGGGGAGCAAACGGG
rnacentral:rRNA from 1 species